rnacentral:rRNA from 1 species
GUACACACCGCCCGUCAAACCAUGGGAGUUGGCUUUACCCGAAGGCGUCGCGCUAACCGCAAGGAGGCAGACGACCACGGUAGGGUCAGCGACUGGGGUUAAGUCGUAACAAGGUAUCCGUAGGUGAACCUGCAGAAGGAUCA